UGAACUGCUCUUUCAUGGUCUAUGCAGGUUUGUGGUCUCAUUCUCUCGCCCUUUCACGUGCCGUUUUGGUUUUUUCAACUUUUCUUUUGGCUUGUGUUGCUGCGUGCCGCUCAUGUUUCAGCUUUUGGUAGUUGAGUUUGGACUGCAGUUAGCGGCUUGUACUUGCGUUCACAUUUGGAAUAUGCGUGCUAUGAGCUACGUUUGACACUGGCUCGGAGUUUGUAGCAGUUUGGAUUUGCCGUCGUACAGUUGCCGUUGGAUUGUGAAGCUUGUUGCAUUUCGGUAUUUCGCAGCUUGCACCUUGAACGUGUUGAUGUUGCUUUAGUAUGAGCUGUAUUUUGGACAGAGUUUGGCAAAUGUUCUGCAGGCUCGUCAUGUAUGAUGUAGCAGUAUUAAUGUGGACUUGUGCAAUGGUUUUGUUGUACUGUGAGUUAUCCAAUAUUCUGACUUAAUUUUCCUUGCAGUUACAACUUCAAUAUGCUAAACCAGGUCAGUCCAGAAUUCACUCUUGAGCUGAUUAUACCUUGCCCUGUUUUCUGUGUAAUGGUGGAAACCCUGUUAACUGAACUUGAUGAUGGAUACAAUAAGUAACCUACUGCAAGACUGCCCUUUCUGGCUUGAUCAUUGAUGUUGGAUUGCAGGAUGUUAUUGGCUCGGUUUUUUGCAUUAACUGCCUGACAUGCUAUGAUGAGAGCCCUUUGUGGCAUGUGAAUGUUGUUGUUUGAUGUUGUGUUUGUCUGUUGUAAAUGCAGGUUGGUAUUCCAUGAUAGAAACACAUACUCACUCAAGGUCUGAUUUGUUAGAAUGAAUUGCAACAAAGUGUUGCAAAAUUCUGCAAUACUUCAUGACAGGCUGGAUAAUGGUAAGUGAGAUACCCCUCCUGAUUAGUUGUAAUUUUAUGUAUUAAUUCCUUGGUCAUGACCAUGGUUCUGUUCUGGUUUUGGCUUGCGGUUCAUUGUUGUUAGCAGGUAUGGCGACAACUUGGUCAGUAAGGCGGCAAAGCACCUCAAACCUCUACAUUGCUUGCUAACUGUGGAUGCCAAGCCUUAUAUGCAGCUGCUGAAUGGAUUUGGCUUCCUUUGCAAACCAUGAACGCAAGUGGUGAGGCGAUUGCUCAAAGCAUGCCACCAAAUGACCCACUCUUAAUUAGAAGCACAUGCACACAUGGGAAGCUCAAGGACCAUGAAGGAAAAGUCAACCUGAGAAUUAGACAUAGGAUAGGGAUGCUGGGGUGAGAAGGGUUUGAGUUGACUUUGGUCAAAGUUGACCAAAAAGUCAACUGUUGACCAAAGUCAACAAUUGGUCAACACAACUUUCUUUGGAUUUUUUCCAUGUAAUGAACUUUUUAUGAUCAUGUAAUGAAUGACAUUUCCUCACUUGAAUGAACUUGGAUUGGUAUCUGAAA
rnacentral:lncRNA from 1 species